AUGAGCCAGUUGCCCCAUUGUGAAGGAACAGCAGGUUUUUGUCAAGCUGUGUCACUGUGGUUCAUCUUCGGAGGAGGGACCCAGCUGACUGUCACAGGUCAGCCAACAGUACCUCCAACAGUGAACGUCUUCCCACCAUCCCAAGCAGAACUGAGGAGCUCAGACAAAGCCACCUUGGUGUGUCUCAUAGAUGGCUUUUACCCGGGUUCCGCCCAAGUUACCUGGCUGGCUGACGGCACCACCAUCUCCUCUGGAGUGGAGACAACCAAGCCCACCAAGCUGAAUGACAAGUACGCAGCCAGCAGCUACCUCAGCAUGAGAAAGUCUGAUUGGGAGAGCUAUGACACAGUCACCUGCAAAGUGGCGCAUGAAGGGAAGACCUUUGAGAAGCAAGUGAGGAGAUCGGAGUGUGCCUAGAGGCUGGAUGGGUCUGCUGAGUUCCUCAUGCCUCCAGCAGCUGAGAAGAAAGAGUCCUUUCAUGUUCAAGGGGGCCGAGUUUAUUCUCUGAUUUCCUCUAAUGCUACAUUGAUCCAUCAAGUUUGGUUUCCUUCCUAUGUCGUUCCCCUCCCCACAUCUCCUCCCUUCCUCUUCUCCCUGGAAUCUCCUUUGUAUGUUGGCUUAUAAUGUUUGCAAAUUAAUAAAAUGUCUACAUUUCA